rnacentral:lncRNA from 10 species
UAAAUUAACUCUAUCUGUGCUCUAUAAAUGGAACAGCAAAGCCUGGAUGACAGCACAUCUGUUUACAACACAUGUUACUGAAUAUUGUAAGCCCACUGUUGAGACCUAAUGCUCAGAAAAAGAGAUUCUUUUCCAAAUAUUGCUGCUCCUUGACAAUGUACCUGGUCACUCAAGAGUGCUGAUGGAGAUGUACAAGGAGAUAAACGUUUUCAUGCUUGCAUACACAAUAUCCAUUUUGCAGUCCAUGGAUUAAGGAUUAAUUUCGACAUUCAAGUCUUAUUAUUGCUGUAAGUUACAGAGCUAGGGUUGGCCAUGCUGUUGAACAGAGUGAUACAUCUACACCCCUCUUAGUACAGUUCAUGGUCAAGCUCAAAUCAAAACCAAAGAGCAGGCGAGGCAACAUAGGGAAACCGUCUCUACGAAAAAUGAAAAUUUUUAAAAAUUAGCCAGGCAUGAUGGUACGUGUCUGCAGUCCCAGCUACUCUGGAGGCUGAGAUAGAAGGGUCCCUUGAGCUGGGAGGUUGAGGCUGCAGUGAACUAUGAUUGCACCGCUGCAUUCCAGCCUGGGUGACAGAGCAAGACCCUGACUCAAAACAAAACAAAAGAAAAAAUGGAGACAGUGAGGGAAGGUCACUCACACUUGGUUCACAUGAGUUACAAGUAUUCUGCAAGGUGAGAGGCUAAGAACUGAGACUACUGGACUGUGGGCAGAAUGCGGGCACUGGAGACAGGCAGAGGCAGCUGUGUUUGGCCU